UCGAUUCUGCCCUUCUGGGCACCCACACCUGUGAACUGUGCUGUUUCUUGGGCGUGCCUCGGCCGCCCAGCAGUCUAACCACUGAAUCUUGGCUGAGAUUGAAGUUUAAAUAGUAA
rnacentral:misc_RNA from 1 species